GAUGAACGCUGGCGGCGUGCUUAACACAUGCAAGUCGAACGAUGUAGCCCAGCUUGCUGGGUGGAUUAGUGGCGAACGGGUGAGUAACACGUGAGUAACCUGCCCUUAACUCUGGGAUAAGCCUGGGAAACUGGGUCUAAUACCGGAUAGGAGCGUCCACCGCAUGGUGGGUGUUGGAAAGAUUUAUCGGUUUUGGAUGGACUCGCGGCCUAUCAGCUUGUUGGUGAGGUAAUGGCUCACCAAGGCGACGACGGGUAGCCGGCCUGAGAGGGUGACCGGCCACACUGGGACUGAGACACGGCCCAGACUCCUACGGGAGGCAGCAGUGGGGAAUAUUGCACAAUGGGCGCAAGCCUGAUGCAGCGACGCCGCGUGAGGGAUGACGGCCUUCGGGUUGUAAACCUCUUUCAGUAGGGAAGAAGCGAAAGUGACGGUACCUGCAGAAGAAGCACCGGCUAACUACGUG
rnacentral:rRNA from 1 species